rnacentral:tRNA from 1 species
GUAAGGGUAGCAGAAUGAUAUGUAUUAGAUUUAGGUUCUAAAGGUUGAAAAGUUUAAGGCUUUUCCUCUUAUA